rnacentral:lncRNA from 1 species
UCGGACUUCGGAGCAGAGAGCUUGCCAGGCCUGGCUAAUCAGCUCGUGUUAAAUCUUAGAUGGGCGAGGAGCUGUUUGGUUUUGGCAAAAUGGCAAGUUGGCAACGUUGCUUGAUCAAAAGAAAUGGCAAAAUAUGGAACGAAAGAAACUCGCGCAUCUUCCGCCAUCAGGGCUCCCCGACGACAACGCUAGUCGCAAAAAUCAAACUCUCUGCCAACAUGUGGAUAACAGCAGGGGCGAAAGUCUUAGCGGCGAUCCUACCAUAGAUGUCCCACCGGUGGGAUACCUUCCGGUCUUUUUCAUGUACCUUUUCGCUAACCGGCUAGCCGGCUGUAACCCAUCUUUAUCAAUGAAAUAGGCACAAUCUCGUGCCUCUUCCUUUCAAAAAAAAAAAAGAAAUGGCAACGUUGCUAGUGGUGCCGGGCCGGUGCUGGGGUUGCUAGGCGCCUAGGCGUAUUCGGAAAGGGUCAAGAAUUGCGGGGGGUUGCCGGCGUCCGGCGGGCACCUACCGCGGCGCGGCCGGUUCGCCACCUACCCGGCCGCGGCAGAAGGCGAGACGAUGGCUUCACACGCCCUGGAGAGAAUGAGCAUGCGGCGAGCCUGUUGAGUGUUGACGUUUGUGUGCCAGGAGUCGUUGCGCGCGCGCGCGGUUGUCGUGUCGUGUGUGGUCAGCGGCGUGCCAGGGGGUGUGGAUGUGUCAGGUCCGGG